AUUGUUAUCCGUGACUUACUCCUCCUAGUCUACCAGAAAGUGCUCUCCAUGGAAAAACACCCGUGACUCGUGACCCUGACCUGAUGCUAAUGGUUGGGCAUGAACAGUGCUGCGAGCCGUCCAGCACUUGACCCACAUGAAGUGGGAUCCAUCAUGACCACCCUCUCACAGCCCGGAUACCGGGGUUCAUGGGCCGCUCCCGAGGGCUCUGGGCCGGGAGCUGCAUGCGGGAGUGGAGAGCGGCCUGGACAGCAGCAGGAACCCUGCCUCUUUUCCUGCUGGAGCUACUCUCUCUGGUACGGUUCUCUGGCCUGGACCUCAGUUUACCCAGAAUGCAUGGCUCAGACUUAGAAACCCACAAGACCCACAAUCGCAAUGAUGUGGGACCCGAGAAGCGAGAAGAAGGGCUACGCCUUCCCUGAUGCCGUUUUCCCCAGCCACUCUGGCCGAUGUGACACGGGCAGGUCCAAACUUCUGCAAGUCUUUCUGGGCCGGCACUAUAACUUCCAGGGUUAUUUUUAUUGGUUAUUCUGACCCUGACACGUGACUGGCUUGCCCUGCGUGUUACCUCGGGCUUGUUUCUGUCAAGCAUCAGGUACGUUCCGGAUGAAAGCACUGGUUACAGGACGUUGGUUUGCUUUGCCUCCCUGCUCCGAUAACUCUGCUUUACAACCCAAGGGGAGGAUUGCAGGGCUGUGGACAGAACACCCGCUUCCUGAAGAAAUGACGAACCACAUUAUUUUUUUUGGCAAAAUAAUGCUUUCACUGGAAUCAUAAUGUUACCAAUAUUUUUGAAAGAAACCAUGUUAGCGAUCUGAGAACGCUCUAGAGGACUGGAUUCCUUAUAGACUACCCAGCUCAGGCGAGCUUGCCAGUAACACCAGACACAUAAAAAGGGCCUAAUAUGCUUUUCUUUAAGGGUGUUAGGGCCACAGUAAAUUUCGGUUACUGACGGUGAAGUUACAAACACUAACACGACAUUUAUGAAGCAUCUGUCAGGUCAGCUCACGCUGCUCGCUGUCAAGCCCACGUUUUAUUAGGCGAUGCGGCUUUACUCUCUCUAGGUUCACGGCUGUCUGCUCAGUGGCUUCAUAAAUCUUAUUCCCAUGUAUCUCAGGGAUGUUACCAACUGUUGGUGAAAAGCAACUUCAGGAUGCCUGGGUCACGAGGGUAAAGACCUACUAUUCUCACCACCCAGAAUCUCACUUUCGAGCUUUCCCUGAGAUGGUAGCCAUGCAUGUGAGAGCUGGGAUGAACACUGUGCUGUGUGCACGUGUGCAUGUGCACACACACUCAUGCUCUACCAUGCAUAUACUCACAUGCAUGCACACCUGAGCACACAUAUGUGCACACACUCUAUCAGACACCCACAUGU